UACGGAGUGUGCAAGCGUUACUCGGAAUCACUGGGCAUAAAGCGCACGUAGGCGGAUCGUUAGGUCGGUGGUGAAAGCCCCCAGCUCAACUGGGCGAACUGCUGCCGAUACCGGCGACCUUGAGGGCAAGAGGGGAAAGUGGAACUUCUGGUGGAGCGGUGAAAUGCGUAGAUAUCAGAAGGAACACCGGUGGCGAAAGCGACUUUCUGGCUUGUCUCUGACGCUGAGGUGAGAAAGCGUGGGGAGCAAACAGG
rnacentral:rRNA from 1 species